rnacentral:rRNA from 1 species
GUAGUCCACGCCCUAAACUAUGUCAACUGGUUGUCGGGGGAUUAACUCCCUUGGUAACGAAGCUAACGCGUGAAGUUGACCGCCUGGGGAGUACGGCCGCAAGGUUAAAACUCAAAGGAAUUGACGGGGACCCGCACAAGCGGUGGAUUAUGUGGAUUAAUUCGAUGCAACGCGAAAAACCUUACCUACCCUUGACAUGUACGGAAUCUCCCAGAGAUGGGAGAGUGCCCGAAAGGGAACCGUAACACAGGUGCUGCAUGGCUGUCGUCAGCUCGUGUCGUGAGAUGUUGGGUUAAGUCCCGCAACGAGCGCAACCCUUGUCGUUAAUUGCCAUCAUUUAGUUGGGCACUUUAACGAGACUGCCGGUGACAAACCGGA